rnacentral:lncRNA from 1 species
GAGUUUCGGAGGAUCACAUUGGUGUCGAUCGACGCCAAGCCACGAACAUCAAUCGUUAGAGGUCAUCCAAAAUCUAUCGACGUCCUCUCCUGGACAUUGCUCGACAACACCUACGGAAUCAACAGCAUCUUGCAAAGCCGUGAGGAUCAUGACUCACCAGGAGUUCAUAGCAAAACACCCACAUCAGCCCAGCCAUGUCUACGU